rfam:Brassica napus, WGS project CCCW01000000 data, contig: 19035
GGAAUAUAAGAACAUGUCUCUUAAUUUUUAACUAAAAAGUUAAGAGCCGGCUCUUAAAUAAGAGUUUUAAGAGACGGUUCUUAGCAUUUUAAGUUAAAAAUUAAGAAACAGGUUCUUAUAUUCC